rnacentral:tRNA from 1 species
GCCCUGGUGGUGAAACUGGUAGACACGCUAUCUUGAGGGGGUAGUGCCGAAAGGCAUACCGGUUCGAGUCCGGUCCAGGGCA